rnacentral:tRNA from 1 species
GAUAGCUCAGUUGGUUAGAGCGACCGGCUGUUAACCGGUAGGUCGUAGGUUCAAGUCCUACUC